AGAUUGAACGCUGGCGGCAGGCCUAACACAUGCAAGUCGAGCGGUAGAGAGGUGCUUGCACCUCUUGAGAGCGGCGGACGGGUGAGUAAUGCCUAGGAAUCUGCCUAGUGGUGGGGGAUAACGUUCGGAAACGGACGCUAAUACCGCAUACGUCCUACGGGAGAAAGCGGGGGACCUUCGGGCCUCGCGCCAUUAGAUGAGCCUAGGUCGGAUUAGCUAGUUGGUGAGGUAAUGGCUCACCAAGGCGACGAUCCGUAACUGGUCUGAGAGGAUGAUCAGUCACACUGGAACUGAGACACGGUCCAGACUCCUACGGGAGGCAGCAGUGGGGAAUAUUGGACAAUGGGACGAAAGCCUGAUCCAGCCAUACCGCGUGUGUGAAGAAGGUCUUCGGAUUGUAAAGCACGUUUAAGUUGGGAAGGAAGGUUGUAACCUAAUACGUUGCAGUCUUUAGACGUUACCGACAGAAUAAGCACCGGCUAACUUCGUGCCAGCAGCCG
rnacentral:rRNA from 1 species